AGAGUUUGAUCCUGGCUCAGGAUGAACGCUAGCGGCAGGCCUAACACAUGCAAGUCGAGGGGUAACAGGGUAGCAAUAUCGCUGACGACCGGCGCACGGGUGAGUAACGCGUAUGCAACCUUCCGUUUAACUGGGGGAUAGCCCGGAGAAAUUCGGAUUAAUACCCCAUAAGAUCAUAGAAAGGCAUCUUUCAGUGAUUAAAGCUCCGGCGGUUAAAGAUGGGCAUGCGUGCCAUUAGCUAGUUGGUGAGGUAACGGCUCACCAAGGCUACGAUGGUUAGGGGGUCUGAGAGGAUGAUCCCCCACACUGGUACUGAGACACGGACCAGACUCCUACGGGAGGCAGCAGUGAGGAAUAUUGGGCAAUGGGCGCAAGCCUGACCCAGCCAUGCCGCGUGAAGGAUGAAUGCCCUACGGGUUGUAAACUUCUUUUGUACGGGACGAAACUCUUGGUCGUGACCAGGAUUGACGGUACCGUGCGAAUAAGCAUCGGCUAACUCCGUG
rnacentral:rRNA from 1 species